GUUUCUUUUGUUACUAAUUACAGAUACAGGAAGUUCCUGACCUAUCAGUCUUUACAGUCGACGUGACAGUUGGGCUCUCAGCUAUAGGAGGGACUUGCCAACACGUGGCAACCAAACAAAUAACUAUGUGGAGGCUGCAAUGCGUGUCUUGAAAGACAAAAUACUUCAAAGGACAAAAGCAUUCAACCUGCCUCAAUUAUUCAACCUUUUCAUUACCCGACUAGAGAUGUACUAUGAAGCACAUGUGACAGACGUUGCACUUGGCCAUUGGGAGGCAUUCCACCGGUCAAGAUUCCUUGCUACACAAAGUAAUAUAAAAGCAUCUGAUAUUUCUCAGCUUCAGUUUCUCUUGACUUUCUAAACCCUUUACGGCAAAAUAUGCCAACGCCAAGCACAUUAGCUCCAGACAUGCCUCCCAGGCAAGAAACCUGCACUACUGAUCAUCAGUAUCAUCUCAGUGCUCAAGAUGAUGGUCAGUAUAAAGGGAGGGAUGGUGCUGUUUUUUUAUGUAUUCUUUUUUUCCCUUUUCUUUCUAAUGGUGGCAUAUUGAACAGAAACACUAUUGUAACAUUUCAAUUUGUCUAUCUGUAUCUUAUGAAUUGUAGAGUCACAUCAGCUGGACCUGUCUUCCACCAGCUCUGCACAAUUGCACCAAACAUCACCUAUGCAAGAGGACUCAUACUCCAACCAACCCUGUGUACAGGUUAACUCAGAGGGAGGUGAGUCCAUGAAGCUUAGAGUUACAUUAAAAAUUCUGUCUAGAUGUUUAUUUGG
rnacentral:lncRNA from 1 species